rnacentral:lncRNA from 10 species
CUGUGUUGGUAGGGACAUCUGAGAGUAAUGAUGAAUGCCAACCGCUCUGAUGGUGGCACAUGCCGAGUCACCCGAGUAAGCUAUUGUUAAGGGCCGUGACCCGAGCCUCCAUCAGCCGUCCGCUCUCAUGAAAGGCUGUCGGUGGUAGUCCACGUGCUUAAGUGCCUGCAUUCCGCAGUGUCACCAAUAUUUCCAUUAGUGUUUCUUUUUUCUUUUUUGAGACCGAGCCUCGUUCUGUCACCCAGGCUGGAAUGCAGUGGCUCGACAUCGGUUAAUGGCAACCUCCGCGUCCCGAGUUAAGCAGUUCUGCCUCAGCCUCCCAAGUAACUGGGACUACAGGCGCGCGCCACCAUGCUAGGCUUUUAUAUUUUUAGUAGAGACGGGGUUUCACCAUGUUGGCGAGACUGGUCUUGAACUCCUGACCUCAGGUGAUCCACCAGCCGUGGUCCCCCAACAUACUGGGAUUACAAGCCGUGAGCCACCGCGCCCGGCCGCCAUCGGUGGUUCUUAACUGCGGGUGCAGUGCUUCUUUGUAACAUUAAGUGUAUCCUUUACCUGUCGCUAGAUAAUGAAUGGUAUGUUACCUGCAUCAUUGGUUUAAAAAGACGAACCGUUUUUUUAAAGAACACUCUUUAAAAAAAAGAACCGUGGAACAAUGAAUUAAAAUCUGUACCUGAUCUCUUUAGGUAUGGUGCUGGGUGCAGAUGCAGUGUGGCUCUGGAUAGCACCUUAUGGACAGUUGUGUCCCCAAGGAAGGAUGAGAAUAGCUACUGAAGUCCUAAAGAGCAAGCCUAACUCAAGCCAUUGGCACACAGGCAUUAGACAGAAAGCUGGAAGUUGAAAUGGUGGAGUCCAACUUGCCUGGACCAGCUUAAUGGUUCUGCUCCUGGUAACGUUUUUAUCCAUGGAUGACUUGCUUGGGUAAGGACAUGAAGACAGUUCCUGUCAUACCUUUUAAAGGUAUGGAGAGUCGGCUUGACUACACUGUGUGGAGCAAGUUUUAAAGAAGCAAAGGACUCAGAAUUCAUGAUUGAAGAAAUGCAGGCAGACCUGUUAUCCUAAACUAGGGUUUUUAAUGACCACAACAAGCAAGCAUGCAGCUUACUGCUUGAAAGGGUCUUGCCUCACCCAAGCUAGAGUGCAGUGGCCUUUGAAGCUUACUACAGCCUCAAACUUCUGGGCUCAAGUGAUCCUCAGCCUCCCAGUGGUCUUUGUAGACUGCCUGAUGGAGUCUCAUGGCACAAGAAGAUUAAAACAGUGUCUC